GAGGGUAUAGCUCAGUGAUAGAGCAUGUGCUUAGUAUACACAAGGUCCUACGUACAAUCCCCAGUACCUCCA
rnacentral:tRNA from 1 species